GACUUUUGAACGGCGAAUAGUUCCCGACUUCUCAAGAGUAGCGAUGUUUUCAGCAUGCAAAUGCAUCUUUUCGAUUAGAGCAAGAUGAGAAGGAUCUGAGAUUGAUUUCUUGAGAGAAUGGAGAUCACUCAGCAAUUCUUUGAGCUCCACCUCCAUGAUUCUUACCGAUUUGACGACUUCUCUGGAACGUCAAUUUGGGUAUUAUUAGUGUAAUCUU
rnacentral:misc_RNA from 1 species